CCUACGGGAGACAGCAGUGGGGAAUAUUGCACAAUGGGGGAAACCCUGAUGCAGCGACGCCGCGUGAAGGAAGAAGUAUUUCGGUAUGUAAACUUCUAUCAGCAGGGAAGAAAAUGACGGUACCUGACUAAGAAGCCCCGGCGAACUACGUGCCAGCGGCCGCGGUAAUACGUAGGGGGCAAGCGUUAUCCGGAUUUACUGGGUGAAAAGGAAGCGUAGGCGGUUUAGCAAGUCAGAAGUGAAAGCCCGGGGCUCAACUCCGGGACUGCUUUUGAAACUGUUGAACUAGAGUGCAGGAGAGGUAAGUGGAAUUCCUAGGGUAGCGGUGAAAUGCGUAGAUAUUAGGAGGAACACCAGUGGCGAAGGCGGCUUACUGGACUGUAAAUGACGCUGAGGCUCGAAAGCGUGGGGAGCAAACAGGAUUAGAUACCCCAGUAGUC
rnacentral:rRNA from 1 species